GUUGAUGUAGCUUAAACUAAAGCGUAGCACUGAAAAUGCUUGUAUGAGCCCUAAUAAGCUCCACCAACA
rnacentral:tRNA from 1 species